UGAACCUUGAAGACAUGCCAGUUACAAAAAGAUGCCAGGAUGCAUGUCCACAGAGGGAAGCCUGUGAGAGGACACGAUGAGAGGGUGACCAUCUGCCAAGAAGAGAGGCUUCAUGAGAAACCAAACUUGCCAACAACUUGAUCCUGCGCUUCUAGCCUCCAAAAGUGUCAGAAAAUAAAUUUCUGUUGUUUAAGUCUGCAGUCCUUUGUUACAGCAGCCCCAGCAAACUAAUGCUAUGGAUUUGGAGUUUGUCGGAUGAGAAGAGUAGUGGGGUCUGGUUGCACAUCAGUGUGAAUCUACUUAAAACUACUGAACUGCACACUUAAAACUGGUUAAGGUGGUAAAUUUUAUACCACGUGUAUUUUACCAGAAUUAAAAAAAAACAUA